rnacentral:piRNA from 1 species
UAAUAGGUGUGCUGAUUCUACUGGCUCAU